AUUGAACGCUGGCGGCAUGCCUUACACAUGCAAGUCGAACGGUAACAGGUCUUCGGAUGCUGACGAGUGGCGAACGGGUGCGUAAUACAUCGGAACGUGCCCGAUCGUGGGGGAUAACGAGGCGAAAGCUUUGCUAAUACCGCAUACGAUCUACGGAUGAAAGCGGGGGAUCUUCGGACCUCGCGCGGACGGAGCGGCCGAUGGCAGAUUAGGUAGUUGGUGGGAUAAAAGCUUACCAAGCCGACGAUCUGUAGCUGGUCUGAGAGGAUGAUCAGCCACACUGGGACUGAGACACGGCCCAGACUCCUACGGGAGGCAGCAGUGGGGAAUUUUGGACAAUGGGCGAAAGCCUGAUCCAGCCAUGCCGCGUGCGGGAUGAAGGCCUUUGGGUUGUAAACUGCUUUUGUACGGAACGAAAAGCCUCUUUCUAAUAAAGAGGGGUCAUGACGGUACCGUAAGAAUAAGCACCGGCUAACUACGUG
rnacentral:rRNA from 1 species